rnacentral:rRNA from 1 species
CCCCUGCCGGCCCGCUUUCGGUUCGAAACUUUCUAGUUGCGGCAGCCGGGAUUUACCGCCGCGGUGGUCGCCUGGUGGCGCGAGGCGCGUGAUGCCCCCCAUCGGUCCCUCUCGGCCGUCGACAACUGGCACUUCUGCGCCAAGCGGUCACCGCAAUUCAUGAAAGAAUGGGCUGCAAACAUAGGCUGGGACAUCUGUGAGCGGAAGAAGGUCCUCCUUGAGGACAUCCAGGCCCUCGACCUGCGUGCUGAUGCUGAAGGCCUUUCUGCCGAUGAAUGGAUGCUUAGGUACGAUCUGGAAGACCAGCUCACGGUCAUCUACACAGACGAGGAGGCAUACUAGCAUUUGUGGGGUACGCGGAAUUGGGUCCUCAAGGGGGAUGCCAAUACCGCUUACUUUGAGGCCAUAGCUAAUGGUCGGCAUCGCCGUAACUCCAUCACCCUUCUUUGGGACGGAGCGACCCUCCUGCAGCGGCCGGAGGACAUGCGGGCUCAUGUAGACAGCUUUUACAUAGACCUAUUCUCUGCCUCCCCUCGGGGAGGUCUUGCCCUUGUGCAAGACAUUUGGCCUGCCCAUAGUUGUGUCUCGCCUGUGGAUAACACGGCCCUCACGGCCCCGUUCUCUGAGGCUGAAGUUUGGGCGGCAAUUAAGGGCAUGAACCCAUCCUCGGCCCCUGGCCCGGAUGGUCUCCAAGUGAAUUUCUUCCACACUUUCUUGGAGGUGAUAAAACCUAAGGUGAUGGCCUUAUUUGACGAGUUCUUUGUUGGAUCCAUCGACCUCGCCCGGCUGAACUUUGCGGUAAUCACCCUCAUCCCCAAAGUGACUGGGGCCUCGGAUAUACGACAAUUCCGACCGAUUAUGGUGAUUAACGUCAUCUUCCGCAUCCUCACGAAGGGGUACACCAUUAGGGUGGCCCCUAUCACCCACCAAAUCACUCACCCUGACCAGUCGGCCUUCAUCCAGGGUCGUUAUAUCCUCGACGGAGUCCUAGUGUUUGAUACGUCUCCAACAUAUCUAUAA